UGCUCGAUAAGGUUUUAUAGGUUCACUGUUAAUCAGAGGGUCGCAGGUUCAAGUCCUGCUCGAGGAG
rnacentral:tRNA from 1 species